rnacentral:rRNA from 1 species
GAGCGGCGAACGGGUGAGUAACACGUGGGUGAUCUGCCCUGUACUUCGGGAUAAGCCUGGGAAACUGGGUCUAAUACCGGAUAUGACCACGGGAUGCAUGUCUUGUGGUGGAAAGAUUUAUCGGUACAGGAUGGGCCCGCGGCCUAUCAGCUUGUUGGUGGGGUAAUGGCCUACCAAGGCGACGACGGGUAGCCGACCUGAGAGGGUGACCGGCCACACUGGGACUGAGACACGGCCCAGACUCCUACGGGAGGCAGCAGUGGGGAAUAUUGCACAAUGGGCGGAAGCCUGAUGCAGCGACGCCGCGUGAGGGAUGACGGCCUUCGGGUUGUAAACCUCUUUCGACAGGGACGAAGCGCAAGUGACGGUACCUGUAGAAGAAGCACCGGCCAACUACGUGCCAGCAGCCGCGGUAAUACGUAGGGUGCGAGCGUUGUCCGGAAUUACUGGGCGUAAAGAGCUUGUAGGCGGUUCGUCGCGUCGAUCGUGAAAACUUG